AGAGAGAGACAUGCGCGCAUAUCAAUAAGCGGAGGAAAAGAAACUAACAAGGAUUCCCCUAGUAGCGGCGAGUGAAGCGGGAAGAGCUCAAUUUGAAAUCUUAAAGGGUUUCCCUUUACGAAUUGUAGUUUAAAGAAGUGUUUUCUGUUGAGGUUUUGGUAAAAGUUCUUUGGAAUAGGACAUCAUAGAGGGUGAGAAUCCCGUAUUUGACCUUUACUUUCAACUUUGUGAUACACUUUCAAAGAGUCGGAUUGUUUGGGAAUGCAGUCCAAAAUGGGUGGUAAAUUUCAUCUAAAGCUAAAUAUUGGCGAGAGACCGAUAGCGAACAAGUACCGUGAGGGAAAGAUGAAAAGAACUUUGAAAAGAGAGUUAAACAGUACGUGAAAUUGUCAAAAGGGAAGCGUUCGACACCAGUGUUGUUUUUCUGAAAAUCAAUUAAAGAACUGUUUAUGCUAAGUUGUUUAGACUUUAUCAGCUAACUGUUUAGUUUUGAGCUUUUCUUUAAUGCACUUUUCAGUUAACAAGUCAACAUCAAUUUCUUUUGCUGUAAAAAAGCUUGAGGAAGGUGGCUUGAGAUUCGUCUUAAGUGUUUAUAGCCUCUUGCCUAUGCAGUCGGAGAGAUUGAGGUCUGCAGCGUAGAUCCUUCGGGGCUAAAUGCAUUUGUGCUAAGUUAUAGCAUUUUAUAGACAACUUGUUGACUAUGAUUUGUCUUGUAGCUUACUCGCUUAUGUUAUUUUACCUACGCUUAGGAUGUUGAGCGCAUGUCUCUCUCU
rnacentral:rRNA from 1 species